CAGGUACGCGCAAUCUAAAAACCCGGUAACCAGCAACCUAAAGAACCGUCAGAAUCUCACCACUUCCCUUGAGAGAAGCAGGACGGCUGGACACAGCCCAGCACUCUUCCCUCACGUAUGGUAGAGAACAGCAGUCACUGUAGGCCUCAGCUCCAGAUAAGCAAGACCGAGACAGGGACCCACCGUUCUCGAACCUCACCGGAAAGGAAGAGCGCGAGCUCUCUUAUCUAUGCCUUAUUUAUACCUCAGCACAUUCAAUGACACAUCCUCUUCUGAACCUCUUCUGCAUAUAAGGACUGCCAUUUGAUCUUAUUACAACACUCAGCGUUUGUGGGGUGUAACUGCUUUCCACUGCUGCAUUUUUCAGACCAUCAGUUUCAGACUCUGGUAUGAUGACAACUUGUCAUAUGGUGACAACUCCUGUAGUGCCACGACAACACUGUUACCGGUCAGUGAUGAUGAUGCAUUUAAUCUCAGCCAGACUUCCUGUUGGCCCCCGAACAAUGCGGCUGCAAAAUGAGGUUUACACAUGCCAGUUCUACUAGGCCAUAGUAUUGAAUAUUUCUUUACUAAUUUGUGGAUAACACCACUGUAAAGAACAUAUUAGAACUACACCAUGUCUUCUCUUGGGAUUUGAUGCUAACUGGAAUGCUUGAUGAUCAGAAGCAUACUCUGCCAUAGAAAUUAACAUGAGAAACCUGUGUAAACACAGGUGUAAAUCUCCUAUCACUUUUUCUUGCCAUUGCAAGUCAGCACCCGAAUGUUCAGAGGUUAUUUUAUUAGCUUAUGUAUAAGUUGAUUUUCUCAAGGAAACUAACCAUUCAGAUGUUCUGAGUA